UACAGAGGGUGCGAGCGUUAAUCGGAAUUACUGGGCGUAAAGCGUGCGUAGACGGUUAUUUAAGUCGGGUGUGAAAGCCCCGGGCUCAACCUGGGAAUUGCAUUCGAGACUGAAUAGCUAGGGUACGGUAGAGGGAAGCGGAAUUUCCGGUGUAGCGGUGAAAUGCGUAGAUAUCGGAAGGAACAUCAGUUGCGAAAGCGGCUUCCUGGACCAGUACCGACGUUCAGGCACGAAAGCGUGGGGAGCAAACAGG
rnacentral:rRNA from 1 species